rnacentral:rRNA from 1 species
UACGGGGGGAGCAAGCGUUGUUCGGAUUUACUGGGCGUAAAGGGCUCGUAGGUGGCCAACUAAGUCAGACGUGAAAUCCCUCAGCUUAACUGGGGAACUGCGUCUGAUACUGGAUGGCUUGAGUUUGGGAGAGGGAUGCGGAAUUCCAGGUGUAGCGGUGAAAUGCGUAGAUAUCUGGAGGAACACCGGUGGCGAAGGCGGCAUCCUGGACCAAUACUGACACUGAGGAGCGAAAGCCAGGGGAGCAAACGGG